UACGGGGGGGGCAAGCGUUGUUCGGAAUUACUGGGCGUAAAGGGCUCGUAGGCGGCCAACUAAGUCGGACGUGAAAUCCCUCGGCUUAACCGGGGAACUGCGUCCGAUACUGGAUGGCUUGAGUUUGGGAGAGGGAUGCGGAAUUCCAGGUGUAGCGGUGAAAUGCGUAGAUAUCGAUAGGAACUCCGGUGGCGAAGGCGGCAUACUGGACCACAUCUGACGCUGAGGCGCGAAAGCCAGGGGAGCGAACGGG
rnacentral:rRNA from 1 species